UACGUAGGGGGCAAGCGUUUGUCCGGAUUUAUUGGGCGUAAAGAGCGUGUAGGCGGCUAUACAGGUCCGCUGUGAAAACUCGAGGCUCAACCUCGAGACGUCGGUGGAAACCGUAUGGCUAGAGUCCGGAAGAGGAGAGUGGAAUUCCUGGUGUAGCGGUGAAAUGCGCAGAUAUCAGGAAGAACACCCGUGGCGAAGGCGGCUCUCUGGGACGGUACUGACGCUGAGACGCGAAAGCGUGGGGAGCAAACAGG
rnacentral:rRNA from 1 species